rnacentral:tRNA from 1 species
GGCUUCGGAGUGUAACACGCAGGAUUGCAAACCCUGAAACGCAAAAGAGAAUUUUGCCGGGGCUU